rnacentral:rRNA from 1 species
UACGGAGGGUGCAAGCGUUGUCCGGAUUUAUUGGGCGUAAAGAGCGUGUAGGCGGCCAGGUAGGUCUGCUGUGAAAACUCGAGGCUCAACCUCGAGAUGUCGGCGGAAACCAUCUGGCUAGAGUCCGGAAGAGGAGAAUGGAAUUCCCGGUGUAGCGGUGAAAUGCGCAGAUAUCGGGAAGAACACCCGUGGCGAAGGCGGUUCUCUGGGACGGUACUGACGCUGAGACGCGAAAGCGUGGGGAGCGAACAGG